GCAGCAACUUCCGGCUCUAGGUCUCAGGGUGCUUUUCAUGCGGGGCAAGAAGCGAUGGGAGAAAUUGAUGAGGCAACAGCUAAGCGGGAAACGGUGCAAGAAAGUUCACAGUGCUUAUUGAAUUUGUAUACCGCCUUUUGCAGUUUCUGCUGCAAAAGCGCUUGAUUCCCCACCCCGCAGCAGGGCUUUUAAUGCUGCUUGAUUUUGACUUCUGUUUGCUCUCCUAGCAGCAGCGGACCCAGGCAGACCCUGAGCCCCAAUCGCAGCCAGCCCUCGCGAGGGAAAACACGGGCCAGGGAAGACCGAGCUUGCUCGGUGUGUCAUGGAAGAGCACUGAAAAGGAGCGACUUUUUGUUACGUGCCCCCCUUGUAAUCAGAGGACGUUCAGCCGAUGGAGAUGCAGAGAUGAGAAACGGCGCUUCGUUGAAUUUGACCUUUUGUCUACGUCAGGCUUCCUCAACCGCAGACCUCCAGAUUUUUUUUGGCCUACAACUCCCAUGAUCCUUAGCUAGCAGGACCAGUGGUCAGGGAUGAUGGGAAUUGUAGUCUCAAAACAGCUGGAGGGCCGAGGUUGAGGAAGCCUGGACGUCUUUCUUUUUUUAAAGCACACAGAGAGUAAAGUCCUAGUUGCAGUGCAUUGAAAAGCACCGUGGCUGCUCUCCACAAUUGCAAAACCAAGCCGCUGAGGCAUAAUUAUUUGGCACAACGGGGGUGAGGAGAGGUUCUGUGUUUCCAAAGCCUAUGUGACAAGCAGAUAUUCAGCAGGCACACCUGCCCAGCCCAUGCACCUACAUAGAAAACAUUCCGUUCUUCUGACAGGGAGGUGUCAAAUGUGCACCCUCUUCUAUUGAUAUUAAAAGACUGCUUAGUUAGCAGCCCUUCUCUGGCCCAGUAUAUGCUAGUCCAAGCGUUGCUAAUCUGGUGCCUAUGAGCACAAUGACACUUGCAAAGUUAGUCCCCCCAGGCAGAGGGCCCAAUCUCUGAGCUUUCUUUAAAGUCAGUCUCAAGCCCCCCUAGAAACAAUGUUAUGAAGCAAAAUUGGCAGGUACCCACCUAAGUGAUUUCUAUGAAAUGAGCCAGCCUGACUGCUCACGUCACUUGUUGUUGUUUAUUUGUUUAGUCGUGUCCAACUCUUCGUGACCCCAUGGACCAGAGCACGCCAGGCUCCCGUCACUGUUUUUAGCCAAUGAAUGAUGUCAGAUGAUUGGUAAGUGAUUUGUUUGAACACCAGGGAAUUCCUGUGGCCCUAAAGAGUUGUUUUCCUCUUGUCUGCUUCUGUCUUUUGUUCUAGUCUUUGGAAUCCAUGUAGUUUGCCCUUCCUCUCUCACUAGCAAUCAGGAUGCAUCUUUCCUAUGGUAGGUUUGUCUGAGAUCACACUAAAAGUUAUGCAAAUAUACAGUAAGUACGGGUGGAUAUUAAAGAUUUCAGCCUCCCCACAAAAGGCAAAUGUGAAAAUUUUGCCUGUCCUGCUCUGGAUAAAAUAUUGCAGCUUUACCUUCACAUGCAAUAUCUUCAAUGACAUUCAACUAUCAGCCUAAUUAUAAACAUAUUUUACUCUGAAUAAAUCCCAGUACUAAGCUUGAGACUGAAUUGCCUAGACACCAGUAACAAUAGGAACAUAGUUUCAAUCCACAAUUGAAAUAGGAGUCUCAGAUUGUUGUCGCGUCCAUAAAAUCCAAAUGUAAGUGUCAGCAGUACACUUGGAGUCGGGGAAAGAACAAAAGUAGAAUAUAUAUUGAGCCAGGGAUUCACUGGAGGACCUUGAGAUAACUUCAUUUUCCAGAUUCAGUCAUCAGCAUCCCCUUCCUCUGCAAUACAGAGGUAGGAAUAGAGGCCUAUGACGUCAUACAAGUGUAACAAUUACCAAUAUAUUUGUUCUUUGAACACCUAAAACAAACUGCUGUAUAGUUAACUGAAAUUUAAUGUUAAUCCAAGCAUGAUAAGCUCAAUAGGGUGGGGGUGCUGGUGUUUCUUGCCUCCCUCCCCUAAAACCACAGAGAGAACUUAUUUACCAUUGUUUUAAGUUUCGAAGGUGCUAGAAGUUAUUUUGCUAUUCACAAACUCAAAAAGCAUUUACUUCUGCCAUCUGAUGGAUGCAUGCUAUAACUACAGGUCUGGGAGAGGACAAAUCCUUCUGUUUAAUGAGGCAUUUUUACAGCAUGAUCCUAAAGAUGUUAAUAAACAUCUAGCAUUCUAGCAGCAAUACUGCCUGGUCCUGUGGUGUUAUGUAUACCUAUGUCCAUUCAAACAUGUGUUCUUAAAUGUACCUAACUCUGCACAGUAUCAAAGCUUUAAUUGUAUUGUUGUUGGCAUCUGUCUGUCUCAAGAGACGUAGUGUGCCUCCCGGGAUGAAGUCAAACUGCUGCAUUAGCAGCACUGAAGUGACCUCCUCAAGGUGCAAGCCUGGGCAGUAUGUAUGGUGGUCCUGGACUGCCCAGAUGACAAGACCCUCCUCUCGAUUUCACUGAUGUGGAUCAAAGUGAAGCACAGCAAUACAUUUGGGACCAGCUGGGCUGCAGGAAUUGCUGGAAGGAGGCAUACAAGGCGCCAUCCAGUCUUCUUAGGGACUCCACUUCGAAUCUGUGUAGGGUUUACUCCUUAGUCUUCUAAUCCCCCAAAAUAUCCUGCGAGGCAGUGGAGGUUUGGGAUCAGUUUUCCUUCUCCCAGGUGGUCUACCUUCCCAGGUUGAUGAGCUCCAUCUGCCCCUCACUUCCCUCUACAUCAUGUGCAGAAACCAUUUUCUUAAUCGUUGGCCCCACUAUUGGUCUCUUUGCAUGCAGGGAAGACACAUUGGCUACCCUCACCUGAUUUAGCUGGCCAGUCAAAGCCAUUCCUGGACCGCUGUCACACACCAACAGCUUUUAGGAGUCACAGGUGAGAGCUGGGUGCAGGGUGGGGACCAAAGGUGGACAACUACCCCAGAAGCACAGCAUGUCCCCCACCAGAAGUACUACCUCUCCCCUAACACUCCAUACACCCAACUAUGUAAGCAUCAGUAAUCUUUACUGCUUCUGAUGGUCUAACACGUCGUAUUUAGAGCUGAGAUUCUGGCUAGCUUAUGACUGGACAUGUGAUUUCCUACCUAUAAAUUACCCUCUCCAUCCUCUUAAACACUGUGAAACCAAAGGAUGAUAAAUGUGAAUGGCAGCCAAUGUAGUGCUACUUGUUCUGUGUGGAGAUAUUCCAUGCUAAAGGUUCAUGGAGAACAGAAAGGUUCUGAUGGCUCAAGUUCAAUAAACCAAAGGAAACAACAAAUCUCUACUAAUUCUAUCAUUUUUCCUGAUCACAAAUUACUCUGAAGGAGUUAAUUCCUCAUACAAAUUCAAUCUUUCUACCAAUGCAUUAUAAUUUUCAAGUAAAUUAUGAUGGAUCAUAGGAAAAGUUUAACAUCAGUGAUAACCAUACGCAUAAAUGAGUAGAAGCAAAACCACGUAAGAACAAUGCUAGCUUUCGUAGCAGUGUUUAACUUGCAAGCACUGUGAAAUACCAUUCUCAAAGCACUGAAUGGGUGUCAUGAUGGAUAAGUCAUUGUUUACGGCAUACUAAGUCAAUCACAGUACUUUCUACAUAGCGCUUUUAACAGUAAUGUACUGUUUGCACUGCCACACAGUGAUGUAUAAGCUAUAAUUAUUCCUCCCUGUUUUAUCUGCAGAAUGAGAAGCAGUAGAUUCCCCAUAGGCCCAUGCAAUACAUGCAGAAGGAUGGAGGAUUAAGAAAGGGGGCAAGUUAUAUAAGAGGAUAUGACAUGUUACAGCAGUAGUCCUCAACCUCUGG